GAUGAAGAACGUAGCGAAAUGCGAUACUUCGUGUGAAUUGCAGAAUCCCGUGAACCAUCGAGUCUUUGAACGCAAGUUGCGCCCGAAGCCAUCAGGUUGAGGGCACGUCUGCCUGGGCGUCACAUAUCGUUGCCCAAUGCCUAUUGCAGUGCAAUAGGAAUUUCUAGGGCGAAUGAUGGCUUCCCGUGAGCGUUGUUGCCUCGCGGUUGGUUGAAAAUCGAGUCCUUGGUAGGGUGUGCCAUGGUAGAUGGUGGUCGAGUUAGAACGAUACCGAUCAUGUGCAUGCUCCCCAAAAUAUGGCCUCUAUGACCCACACGCGUCUUUUGACGCUCAUGACGAGACCUCAGGUCAGGCGGGGCUACCCGCUGAAUUUAAGCAUAUCAAUAAGCGGAGGA
rnacentral:misc_RNA from 1 species